GGGAGUAGCUCAGCUGGACAGAGCAACGGUCUUCUAAACCGUAGGUCCUGGGUUCGAAUCCCAGCU
rnacentral:tRNA from 1 species